GAUGAACGCUGGCGGCGUGCUUAACACAUGCAAGUCGAACGAGAAAUGUAGACGGACUCCUUCGGGCGGAAGCCUUCAUUUCAAGUAGCGCACGGGUGAGUAACGCUUGGGUAGCCUGCCUCAUGCAGGGGGAUAACAAUUGGACACGACUGUUAAUACCGCAACAGACCACAGCUUCGACUGCUCCGGGGCUGAAAACUCCGGUGGUAUGAGAUGAACCGGCGUUCGAUUAGCCAGCUGGCGGGGUAACGGCCCACCAAAGCGACGAUCGAUAGCCGAGCUGAGAGGAUGACCCGCCACAUUGGGAGUGAGACACGGCCCAAACUCCUACGGGAGGCAGCAGUGGGGAAUAGUGCACAAUGGGGGAAACCAUGAUGCAGCGACGCCGCGUGAGUGAAGAAGUACUUCGGUAUGUAAAGCUCUAUCAGCAGGGAAGAAAAUGACGGUACCUGAGGAAGAAGCCCCGGCUAACUACGUG
rnacentral:rRNA from 1 species